rnacentral:rRNA from 1 species
GACGAACGCUGGCGGCGUGCUUAACACAUGCCAGUCGAACGCUGAAGCACCAGCUUGCUGGUGUGGAUGAGUGGCGAACGGGUGAGUAAUACGUGAGUAACCUGCCCUUGACUCUGGGAUAAGCCCGGGAAACUGGGUCUAAUACUGGAUGCUACAUGUCACCGCAUGGUGGUGUGUGGAAAGGGUUUACUGGUCUUGGAUGGGCUCACGGCCUAUCAGCUUGUUGGUGAGGUAAUGGCUCACCAAGGCGACGACGGGUAGCCGGCCUGAGAGGGUGACCGGCCACACUGGGACUGAGACACGGCCCAGACUCCUACGGGAGGCAGCAGUGGGGAAUAUUGCACAAUGGGCGAAAGCCUGAUGCAGCGGCGCCGCGUGAGGGAUGACGGCCUUCGGGUUGUAAACCUCUUUCAGCAGGGAAGAAGCCACAAGUGACGGUACCUGCAGAAGAAGCGCCGGCUAACUACGUG